CCUACGGGGGGCAGCAGUGAGGAAUAUUGGUCAAUGGACGAGAGUCUGAACCAGCCAAGUAGCGUGAAGGAUGACUGCCCUAUGGGUUGUAAACUUCUUUUAUAUGGGAAUAAAAUGUUCCACGUGUGGGUUUUUGUAUGUACCAUAUGAAUAAGGAUCGGCUAACUCCGUGCCAGCAGCCGCGGUAAUACGGAGGAUCCGAGCGUUAUCCGGAUUUAUUGGGUUUAAAGGGAGCGUAGGUGGAUUGUUAAGUCAGUUGUGAAAGUUUGCGGCUCAACCGUAAAACUGCAGUUGAAACUGGCAGUCUUGAGUGCAGUAGAGGUGGGCGGAAUUCGUGGUGUAGCGGUGAAAUGCAUAGAUAUCACGAAGAACUCCGAUUGCGAAGGCAGCUCACUGGACUGCAACUGACACUGAGGCUCGAAAGUGUGGGUAUCAAACAGGAUUAGAUACCCUGGUAGUC
rnacentral:rRNA from 1 species